rnacentral:misc_RNA from 1 species
UUGGUGAAGAUUCAAAAGCUGAGAGUCCAGGGGAAGAUGGAAGUGAUGGCAAAGACAAAUCAGCCAAGAAAAAAUGGUUCAAUUUGAACCUUAAAGGAUCAGAUAAAAAGCUUGGUUGAAAAAAGAUGUUUGGGUGAUUUUAUACUAUUUGGGAAGUUUGAUUGCGUAUUUAAAUUCUAGGGCCACAGAUUUGUUGCAUGCAAAGUUUGUCUUGUAUUAUUUAUUCUAUUUUUUUUUUCUCAUUAGGUUUUUUUCCG